rfam:Echinostoma caproni strain Egypt genome assembly, scaffold: ECPE_scaffold0000652
GCACUGCCGACGAGUCCCAAAAAAGACGAAACAGCUGUUCAGUGC